rnacentral:rRNA from 1 species
GUUGGUGAGGUAACGGCCCACCAAGGCAACGAUCGGUAGCCGGACUGAGAGGUUGAACGGCCACAUGGGACUGAGACACGGCCCAGACUCCUACGGGAGGCAGCAGUGGGGAAUAUUGCACAAUGGGGGAAACCCUGAUGCAGCGACGCCGCGUGGAGGAAGAAGGUCUUCGGAUUGUAAACUCCUGUUGUUGAGGAAGAUAAUGACGGUACUCAACAAGGAAGUGACGGCUAACUACGUGCCAGCAGCCGCGGUAAAACGUAGGUCACAAGCGUUGUCCGGAAUUACUGGGUGUAAAGGGAGCGCAGGCGGGAAGACAAGUUGGAAGUGAAAUCCAUGGGCUCAACCCAUGAACUGCUUUCAAAACUGUUUUUCUUGAGUGGUGCAGAGGUAGGCGGAAUUCCCGGUGUAGCGGUGGAAUGCGUAGAUAUCGGGAGGAACACCAGUGGCGAAGGCGGCCUACUGGGCACCAACUGACGCUGAGGCUCGAAAGUGUGGGUAGCAAACAGGAUUAGAUACCCUGGUAGUCCACACUGUAAACGAUGAUUACUAGGUGUUGGAGGAUUGACCCCUUCAGUGCCGCAGUUAACACAAUAAGUAAUCCACCUGGGGAGUACGACCGCAAGGUUGAAACUCAAAGGAAUUGACGGGGGCCCGCACAAGCAGUGGAGUAUGUGGUUUAAUUCGACGCAACGCGAAGAACCUUACCAAGUCUUGACAUCCCUUGACGAUGCUGGAAACAGUAUUUCUCUUCGGAGCAAGGAGACAGGUGGUGCAUGGUUGUCGUCAGCUCGUGUCGUGAGAUGUUGGGUUAAGUCCCGCAACGAGCGCAACCCUUAUGGUCAGUUACUACGCAAGAGGACUCUGGCCAGACUACCGUUGACAAAACGGAGGAAGGUGGGGAUGACGUCAAAUCAUCAUGCCCUUUAUGACUUGGGCUACACACGUACUACAAUGGCGUUAAACAAAGAGAAGCAAGACCGCGAGGUGGAGCAAAACUCAGAAACAACGUCCCAGUUCGGACUGCAGGCUGCAACUCGCCUGCACGAAGUCGGAAUUGCUAGUAAUCGCAGAUCAGCAUGCUGCGGUGAAUACGUUCCCGGGCCUUGUACACACCGCCCGUCACACCAUGAGAGCCGGGGGGACCCGAAGUCGGUAGUCUAACCGCAAGGAGGACGCCGCCGAAGGUAAAACUGGUGAUUGGGGUGAAGUCGUAACAAGGUAACCGUACUAGUACGCCGGCUG